UGGAGUGAUAUUGUGGAGUGCAUUUUGUGAACUCUCUUUACUCACGUCAUAGAGACUAAGAAAAGAAAUUCAGGCUAGCCAUUACGUCAACAAGUCUUGCGUUUUUAGUUCUUGUCUUCUUAUAACAUAUGUCUUUAAGAUCUGAAGGUCAGUGGCGGCUCGUGAAUUAGGCAAUACAUCACUUACAAUAUUAACUAAAAUAUUAUAAUAUUUGAGGUAUGUUGACUGUCUGCAUACUGAUAAACAUGAUUUAAUACGAUGACAGGUUAAGCCGUUCGCAGAAUAUGUUUUUAAUUCAAAGUUUACGAUGACCCAAAACUGUCUUUGAAGAAUAACAAGAAGAAAACCAGUCAGCUUGAGCGAAUCCGCAGAUGUAAUGGAGUUCCAGGCAAACAAUCCAUUUUCCAAUUUGGGUCGCAUAAACGUGGCAUACAAAACUCAGAGUCUACCAGCAGUGGAAAAAGGAAGCUUAGAAGAUUGUGUAACCGACGGCGCAGUCUUAGACCAUUGAUUGACUGGAAAAAAGGUCUUGGUUGUGGGUCAUUUCCUGUUCCUACACAAGUAGGUGAUGUCUGGCCAGUUAAGCAAUGAUUCGUGAAAGAAAUAGUGAGAAUUGCACGCGUACGGACAGACAAAAGAGACAACGAGCGACCAACAAAAAGAGACAAAACAUGUUUUGUAAAUGAGUUGCCAUAGUGAUGUGAGCACGUAAGCGACGACUAGUUCCAUUUUUCGAGUGAUGUCGCUCGAUUCGAGGUCGUGGUAUCGGCUCUACGCAUGCGCAGGAACGAGCAGUAACACAACCUCAAAGCGGAAAUCCUGUGGCUGUUGUAACGUCACUUCGACGUUGCACAACAUGGGUUUCUUCAGUUACGUGUAUUUUGCUGCGUUACAUUGUUAUGAUCCAUGUUACUGUCACCAUCCGUUUCUGUUAUCGAGUUGUGGUGAUGGAAACAUUUGACAACAACAGAAGCUUGUUUAGGAAAUGCUUUUGUCUUUGGACGAAACACGCCAUUUCGCAUAUC